rnacentral:misc_RNA from 1 species
AAUUCUCAACCUUUUCAGCUUUCUUUGUUGAUCAGGCUUGGAUGUGGGAGUAUGCGGGCUUCUCAGAAGUCGGCUCUCCUGAAAUGCAUUAGCGGGACCUUUGUUGCCUGGCUUUGGUGUGAUAAUUAUCUACGCCAUUGUGGUCAAGCAGCUUAAAAUGAGGUUUCAGCUUCUAACCGUCUCCCCUGAGACAACUUUUUGACA